AUCUGAUGGUCACCCUGCACAUUCCUGCUCCGACAUCCAAACCUGUCCCUGCAACAUCCCCAACCAGGAGGAUGCUGAGAGCCCCAAAUCCCCCAGCUGAUACGCUGUGAGCCAAAUCCCUGAGCUAUCGCCACAACAGCCAAAACGCACCCUCAAAACCCCAUCUUCAAUCACGUUGUCUCCUUAAUGUUGAAACACUCAGUUUUCUGCUGAGACCAGAAAGAACAGAACAAGUGGUUCCAAAACACCACGCUCCCAAUCAUAGAUCUUGAUAAGUGAAGGCACUCUGGCACGCGCAAUAACUACUAACAUUUAGAAACGAUAAAAAACACCAAGUACCAGUGCUGGAUCCAGUAAAUCUAGACAAAAACAAAGGACUGCGUAUUGGUUUGGAGCCCAAUACCAGUUUUCGAUCUUCACUACUGAAUAACAAAUUUCAGCAGAGAUGUUCUUCCUGCAAAAGCGGAGCACAGCCCAAGGAUGAUUUACCCUCACUGGUGUUGCAUCUAUCACCAGUAAAACUGAAGCCUCAGCGCUGCCAACGCCGCACAGAGCUUUUUCAGCAUUAGAAACCUGUCAAAACCUUUCCAAACAGAGGACAGCUGGGAAGUAAGAUCAGAUGCUGAAGUGGCUGCAGGCCUGAUCUCAGCUGCAGCAUGAUCAUCCAGAGAAGCCAAGGACCCCCAAGCCAUCUAACCUGGCACUGAUGCUAAGCCAGCUGAGGUAGUCCAUGGCCAGCAAAAUGGGACUGCAGCCAUGGAGCGCAGGGAAGAACCUCGCUACCUGGUGGUUGCACACAUAGCACACGCUUUUGAAACAUUCAUUUCCACUUAAGAAGUUACUUCAUGCCUGUGUUGCCACGAGCUCUCCCUCCCAGUGCAAACCAGUGUGUUGUGACCUGCUCCUGCAGCCCUGCCAAAAAGCAACAGCAAGAACGAGUCUUCAUGAACCUCCUAAAGAUCUAGGAAAUAAAAACAAGCCGUGGAAACUCACCUUGCACAUUACCAAGGCAGACAGUUACAAGGUAGCUAAGGACAGCCAGACUAGCCUGAACGGGGUUGCUACAGGACUUACAAUUAAGCAACUUGUACCAAACUUCAAAAAAAGUUAAAAUGUUUUGUUAUACUUGCCAGAACUGGCACUGUCAAUGGAACAAUAUUAUAAGCCGUAUUUUAGAGAACUUCCUCUCAUUUGUUUUCAAUCGACCUAAGUAAGCA
rnacentral:lncRNA from 1 species